CUCGAAUCUCUGCCAUUUUGGAGUUAAAUCACUAUUGUUUCUCUUUAUGCAACCCUAGUCAUACAGCCCUCUUGAAAAGUGGUUUUAUUUUCGAACCACUCUUACAGCACAGUGUGUUUACUGUAGAUGUUCUUAUCGCCUGCUCUUUGAAUUACAUUUUAAUUAAACACAGGCAGCUAAACGAGCGAAAGAUAACAUUUCUAAAUUAAACACACUGUGC